UACGAACCGUACAAACGUUAUUCGGAAUCACUGGGCUUAAAGGGUGCGUAGGCGGCCAUGUAAGUGAGGUGUGAAAUCCCUCGGCUCAACCGAGGAACUGCGCUUCAUACUGCAUGGCUUGAGGGAGACAGGGGUAAGCGGAACUGAUGGUGGAGCGGUGAAAUGCGUUGAUAUCAAUCAGGAACACCGGUGGCGAAAGCGGCUUACUGGGUCUCUUCUGGACGCUGAGGUUACGAAAGCUAGGGCUAGCGAACGGGGUAAGUCAAGAUGAUCCCAGUACGUACCCACGUAGCCAAUCACGUCC
rnacentral:rRNA from 1 species